GACGAACGCUGGCGGCGUGCUUAACACAUGCAAGUCGAACGGAAAGGCCCUGCUUUUGUGGGGUGCUCGAGUGGCGAACGGGUGAGUAACACGUGAGUAACCUGCCCUUGACUUUGGGAUAACUUCAGGAAACUGGGGCUAAUACCGGAUAGGAGCUCCUGCUGCAUGGUGGGGGUUGGAAAGUUUCGGCGGUUGGGGAUGGACUCGCGGCUUAUCAGCUUGUUGGUGGGGUAGUGGCUUACCAAGGCUUUGACGGGUAGCCGGCCUGAGAGGGUGACCGGACACAUUGGGACUGAGAUACGGCCCAGACUCCUACGGGAGGCAGCAGUGGGGAAUAUUGCACAAUGGGCGGAAGCAUGAUGCAGAAACGCAGAGUGAGGGAUGACGGACUUCGGGUUGUAAACCGCUUUCGCCUGUGACGAAGCGUGAGUGACGGUAAUGGGUAAAGAAGCACCGGCUAACUACGUG
rnacentral:rRNA from 1 species